AUCUGCGGCGCAAAACAGAAGAAGUUAGAAAGCAGUACCUCACAACCCUAGCAUAAGAACAGUAUUUGUAAACUGUUGAUCAAUUUUUAACUGCUUCUACAGCCUCUAUACAAACAUAUUCUAAACAUUACCCUGCCCAUGGUGAAGGUUUGCGUUUCUCUAAGUGACACCAACCCGGCACUACGUUUAUAUAGACUCUCAGCAGCAGAACACCUUGCACACCUUUGUGUGAAACCUCAUGACUCAUCAUGAGGUUCACGUGGCCCUGCAUUCUUUUUUUUCUUUCUUCUUUUUUUUUUUUAACAGAACACCUGAAUAGUUAUUGUGUGUUGAAUGUAAUUUAGGGAGGUCAUGUAAGUUCAGAAGAGAAGCAAAAUGUUCCUGAAAUGGCUCAGCAUUACCGGUUACCUUUCCGAUUAUUUAUUGCACUUCAAUGAUAUGAGGUCAAAGUGAUGCUGCUUUGUGGCAUCUACAGUGUUGGUUGAAGUUUUGUGAAUGCUGUUAGUUUUACCACUGAUGUCUUUAGAUGUGACGUUCACAGCGUAUAGAUUUUCACAGAGGCAAUAUGAAAUAAACAGUUGAAGUUGCUGGAAGCCCCCCUAAUAUUCAGUUCACAGUAUCCACGGCAGAUUGUGAUGUACAGUAAAGUAUGCCAUCCUAUAGUGCUGCUCUGUGCCACAAUAUAGAGUGAUGACUCAAAGGUUUCAGCACAAGCCAUGUGGAAAUACUAUGGCUGUGCAAUGUAUAAAAAGGCAAAAGGGUCGAUGUUGAUGCUAUACAUCUGAGAUUAGCUCACAAAGAUCAUGACCACGGGGAGGAUAAAGCUCGACUGCUGAAUGCAGAUUCUAUUCUAUGAGGACCAGAACUUCCAGGGUCGCUCCAUGAGACCAUCAGCGGCUGCCCUGAGGGUCUACCUCCUUCAGCAUCUUCGUGGUCGAAGAGGCACCCAGCUUCACAUCUAAUCAACCAGCACCUGAUGGGAAGUAGUAUGAGCAACGGCAUCACAUCCUGUCGUAUCCUCCCCGUGGUCGGCAGGCAAGUUUAACACCCUUAGGUUUAUUAUUGCCCAGUCACACCCCAGAGACAUGGUUUUCCCUGCUAGCACAUACUAGAGAACUCAGUGAAAACAACCAAAACAGCUCUCAGUAAAUAUCUGCAACACUUCCGUAAGACAGCCAAAGAUCUAGUGUCGUCCGUCAUGUUGGUGUCCAGAAACUUUUGAUGUUCAAACAAAAAACCUAACCUGGACCUUAGCUGCAAUGUUCUAAACUCCAGUCCACUUUCAGUUACAGUCUGACCUGCUCAGCCGUGAUCCUUAACCCAAAAUAACUAAAUUUGAACUACGUGA